UACGGAAGGGGCAAGCGUUGUUCGGAAUCAUUGGGCGUAAAGGGCGCGUAGGUGGUUCUGUAUGUCUACCGUGAAAGCGUACGGCUCAACCGUAUUUUGUCGGUGGAAACUGCAGGACUUGAGGCUGGGAGGGGCUGGUGGAAUUCCCUGUGUAGCGGUGAAAUGCGUAGAGAUGGGGGAGAACACUCGUGGCGAAGGCGGCCAGCUGGACCAGUUCUGACACUGAGGCGCGACAGCGUGGGGAGCAAACAGG
rnacentral:rRNA from 1 species